GGGGGUAUGGCUCAGUUGGUAGAGCGCCUGCUUUGCACGCAGGAUGUCAGCGGUUCGAGUCCGCUUACCUCCACCA
rnacentral:tRNA from 2 species